UAACGUCCACGAUCAUAAUCUCGAAAGAGGAUUUGUUUCCGAAUAAAAACUAGUGAUCUUACUGAUUAGUCACAUAUCGAUUAAAAAUUAGAUUUCGUGCUUUAAGAACCCUUUUUAAAAGGGUUCUUUCACUGGGUGUAAUUUUGUUCAUCCAA